GGUGCACCAGGCGCGAAAACUUUACAAUGCGGGAAACCGUGAUAAGGGGACACCGAGUGCCAGCAUCAUAUGCUGGCUGUCCGGGUGUGUAAAAUACACCCGUUAGCAAGGGCCGGGCAAGACCGGUGCCAGCCGCCGCGGUAACACCGGCGGCCCGAGUGGUGAUCGUGAUUAUUGGGUCUAAAGGGUCCGUAGCCGGUUUGGUCAGUCCUCCGGGAAAUCUGACGGCUCAACCGUUAGGCUUUCGGGGGAUACUGCCAGGCUUGGAACCGGGAGAGGUAAGAGGUACUACAGGGGUAGGAGUGAAAUCUUGUAAUCCCUGUGAGACCACCUGUGGCGAAGGCGUCUUACCAGAACGGGUUCGACGGUGAGGGACGAAAGCUGGGGGCACGAACCGGAUUAGAUACCCGGGUAGUCCCAGCCGUAAACGAUGCUCGCUAGGUGUCAGGCAUGGCGCGACCGUGUCUGGUGCCGCAGGGAAGCCGUGAAGCGAGCCACCUGGGAAGUACGGCCGCAAGGCUGAAACCUAAAGGAAUUGGCGGGGGAGCACA
rnacentral:rRNA from 1 species